rnacentral:rRNA from 1 species
ACGCUCGACACCUACGGGAGGAGCAGUGGGGAAUAUUGCACAAUGGGGGAAACCCUGAUGCAGCGACGCCGCGUGAGCGAAGAAGUAUCUCGGUAUGUAAAGCUCUAUCAGCAGGGAAGAAGAUGACGGUACCUGACUAAGAAGCACCGGCUAAAUACGUGCUAGCAGCCGCGGUAAUCUGAGCGGGCUGGCAAGGC